rnacentral:rRNA from 1 species
AUUGAACGCUGGCGGCAGGCCUAACACAUGCAAGUCGAACGAGUGGCGGACGGGUGAGUAAUGUCUGGGAAACUGCCCGAUGGAGGGGGAUAACUAAUGGAAACGGUAGCUAAUACCGCAUACCAUCGGAUGUGCCCAGAUGGGCUUAGCGAGUAGGUGGGGUAACGGCUAACCUAGGCGACGAUCCCUACCUGGUCUGAGAGGAUGACCAGCCAGACUGGGACGGAGACACGGUCCAGACUCCUACGGGAGGCAGCAGUGGGGAAUAUUCUGCAAUGGGCGCAAGCCUGACGGAGCAAUGCCGCGUGAAUGAAGAAGGCCUUCGGGUUGUAAAGUUCUUUCAGUGGAGAGGCGUUACUCACAGAAGAAGCACCGGCUAACUCCGUGCCAGCAGCCGCGGUAAUAC